UAAUACGGAGGGUGCAAGCGUUAUCCGGAUUUACUGGGUUUAAAGGGUGUGUAGGCGGGCUAUUAAGUCAGUGGUGAAAUCUCCGAGCUUAACUUGGAAACUGCCAUUGAUACUAUUAGUCUUGAAUUUUGUUGAGGUAGGCGGAAUAAGUCAUGUAGCGGUGAAAUGCAUAGAUAUGACUUAGAACACCAAUUGCGAAGGCAGCUUGCUAAACAAACAUUGACGCUGAGGCACGAAAGCGUGGGGAUCAAACAGGAUUAGAUACCCUGGUAGUCCACGCCCUAAACGAUGAUUACUCGACAUACGCGAUACACAGUGUGUGUCUGAGCGAAAGCAUUAAGUAAUCCACCUGGGAAGUACGACCGCAAGGUUGAAACUCAAAUGAAUUGACGG
rnacentral:rRNA from 1 species